CCUGGCUCAGAACGAACGCUGGCGGCAGGCUUAACACAUGCAAGUCGAGCGCCCCGCAAGGGGAGCGGCAGACGGGUGAGUAACGCGUGGGAAUCUACCCUUGACUACGGAAUAACGCAGGGAAACUUGUGCUAAUACCGUAUGUGUCCUUCGGGAGAAAGAUUUAUCGGUCAAGGAUGAGCCCGCGUUGGAUUAGCUAGUUGGUGGGGUAAAGGCCUACCAAGGCGACGAUCCAUAGCUGGUCUGAGAGGAUGAUCAGCCACAUUGGGACUGAGACACGGCCCAAACUCCUACGGGAGGCAGCAGUGGGGAAUAUUGGACAAUGGGCGCAAGCCUGAUCCAGCCAUGCCGCGUGAGUGAUGAAGGCCCUAGGGUUGUAAAGCUCUUUCACCGGAGAAGAUA
rnacentral:rRNA from 1 species